rnacentral:rRNA from 1 species
AUUGAACGCUGGCGGCAUGCUUUACACAUGCAAGUCGAACGGCAGCACGGACUUCGGUCUGGUGGCGAGUGGCGAACGGGUGAGUAAUACAUCGGAACGUGCCCAGUUGUGGGGGAUAACUACUCGAAAGAGUAGCUAAUACCGCAUGAGAACUGAGGUUGAAAGCAGGGGAUCGUAAGACCUUGCGCAACUGGAGCGGCCGAUGGCAGAUUAGGUAGUUGGUGGGAUAAAAGCUUACCAAGCCGACGAUCUGUAGCUGGUCUGAGAGGACGACCAGCCACACUGGGACUGAGACACGGCCCAGACUCCUACGGGAGGCAGCAGUGGGGAAUUUUGGACAAUGGGCGAAAGCCUGAUCCAGCAAUGCCGCGUGCAGGAUGAAGGCCUUCGGGUUGUAAACUGCUUUUGUACGGAACGGAAAGCUUCGGGCUAAUACCCUGGAGUCAUGACGGUACCGUAAGAAUAAGCACCGGCUAACUACGUGCCAGCCGCCGCCGUAACAC